ACUAUGGGAAAGUACAACAUUUUCUCCCUGGUCUCAGGGAAGCAGUGAAUCAUCAUCAAUUUCAGUGAUUGAUGAUGGUGAUAUAUUUAUCAUUUCUAUUUCAUUCUUGCUAGUUAAGGAUAGUCCAUAUGUUUUAUAUGAUUCUGUCCUUGCAAUGUAGUUCUGAGGUGUCUGAAAUACCUUGUUUCUCUUUUCCCCCUGUUGUCCUCCUAACCAUCUUAAUCAAAGGAACAAUUCUUUAUUCCAUGAUUUGCAUAUAGAAUUCUCAAAGUUCUGCACUACAGCCACAUCCAGCUGCUGGAUACUAAGGGAGUUUGGUGUUGUACCCAACUUCUCUAUCCUCUUUCUCCUACUUCAGUUCCCUUACCAAGAAGUUAAAGCCUUUUGGAAAUCUGGGAAAACUGCAAAGGUGAAUCAUAAUCAAAGCUUAAAAAUAAAUAAAAUACCUAGGAAUAAACCCACCUAAGGAGACAAAAGACCUGUAUGCAGAAAACUAUUAGACACUGAUGAAAGAAAUUAAAGAUUAUACAAACAGAUGGAGAGAUAUACCAUGUUCUUGGAUUGGAAGAAUCAACAUUGUGAAAAUGACUAUACUACCCAAAGCAAUCUACAGAUUCAGUGCAAUCCCUAUCAAACUACCAAUGGAAUUUUCCACAGAACUAGAACAAAAAAUUUCACAAUUUGCAUGGAAACACAAAGGACCCCGAAUAGCCAAAGCAAUCUUGAGAAAGAAAAACGGAGCUGGAGGAAUCAGGCUCCUGGACUUCAGAGUACACUACAAAGCUACAGUAAUCAAGACAGUAUAGUCCUGGCACAAAAACAGAAAUAUAGAUCAGUGGAACAGGAUAAAAAGCCCAGCGAUAAACCCAUGCACAUAUGGUCACCUUAUUUUUAUAUAAAGGAGGCAAGAAUAUACAAUGGAGAAAAGACAGCCUCUUCAAUAAGUGGUGCUGGGAAAACUGGACAGCUACAUGUAAAAGAACGAAAUUGGAACACUCCCUAACACCAUACACAAAAAUAAACUCAAAAUGGAUUAAAGACCUAAAUGUAGGCCAGACACUAUAAAACUCUUAGAGGAAAACAUAGGCAGAACACUCUAUGACAUCCAUCAUAGCAAGAUCCUUUUUGACCCACCUCCUAGAGAAAUGGAAAUAAAAACAAAAAUAAACAAAUCAGACCUAAUGAAACUUAAAUGCUUUUGCACAGCAAAGGAAGCCAUAAAAAAGAUGAAAAGACAACCCUCAGAAUGGGAGAAAAUAUUUGCAAAUGAAGCAGCUGACAAAGGAAUUAUCUCCAAAAUAUACAAGCAGCUCUUGCAGCUCAAUAUCAAAAACACAACCCAAUCGGACUUCCCUGGUGGUGCAGUGGUUGAGAGUCCGCCUGCCGAUGCAGGGGACACGGGUUCAUGCCCCGGUCCAGGAAGAUCCCACAUGCCGCGGAGCGGCUGGGCCCGUGAGCCAUGGCCACUGAGCCUGCGCGUCUGGAGCCUGUUGCUCCGCAACGGGAGAGGCCACAACAGUGAGAGGCCCGCGUACCGCAAAAAAAAAAACAACAAAAAACAACGCAAUCCAAAAAUGGGCAGAAGACCUAAAUAGACAUUUCUCCAAAGAAGAUAUACAGAUUGCCAACAAACACAUGAAAAGGUGCUCAACAUCACUAAUCAUUAGAGAAAUGCAAAUCAAAACUAUAAUGAGGUAAUACCUCACACCGGUCAGAAUGGCCAUCAUCAAAAAAUCUACAAACAAUAAAUGCUGGAGAGGGUGUGGAGAAAAGGGAACCCUCUUGCACUGUUGGUGGGAAUGUAUAUUGAUACAGCCACUAUGGAGAACAGUAUGGAGGUUCCUUAAAAAACUAAAAAUAGAAUUACCAUAUGACCCAGCAAUCCCACUACUGGGCAUAUACCCUGAGAAAACCAUAAUUCAAAAAGACACAUGUGCCCCAGUGUUCGCUGCAGCACUGUUUACAAUAGCCAGAUCAUGGAAGCAACCUAAAUGCCCAUCGACAGACAAAUGGAUAAAAAAGAUGUGGUUCACAUAUACGAUGGAAUAUUACUCGGCCAUAAAAAGGAACGAAAUUGGGUCAUUUGUAGAGACGUGGUUGGACCUAGAGACUUUCAUACAGAGUGAAGUAAGUCAGAAAGAGAAAAACAAAUAUCGUAUACAAACUCAUAUAUGUGGAAUCUAGAAAAAUGGUACAAAUGAACUGGUUUGCAAGGUAGAAAUAGAGACACAGAUGUAGAGAACAAACAUAUGGACACCAAGGGGGAAAGCAGGGGACGGUGGUCGUGGUGGUGAUGGGAUGAGUUGGGAGAUUGGGAUUGACAUAUAUACACCAAUAUGUAUAGGAUAACUAAUAAGAACUGGCUGUAUAAAAAAAAUAAAGGUAGUUGAUGGAGUCAGAAAAAAAAUAAUAAACCUUUACAAAAAAUGCUAGCAAUGAACAAUCUGAAAAUAAAGUUAAAAAGCAAUUCCAAUUACAAUAGCCUCAAAAAGAAUAAUACAUUGUACAUAGGAAUUGAUAAAACAAAAGAAGUGUAAGACUUCUCUAGGAUGAACCACUCUUAUGUUUCUCCUUUACUCUUACACUCAUAAUAUUGCUGACACCAGAUGUGUGGGAUUUUCGCAUCCAGCAAUUCUUAGACAACACCUAGAUGUCCUAAAAUUCAAUUCAGUUGUGGCCCUAACCAUAGUUAACACAGACCUUACAGGUUAAGGGCUUAGCCUGUCACGACCCCCGCCCCCACUCACCCCCACCUCAGACAUCAAUUGCAAGUCCAUGUUGUUACCGGUGCUUCUGACCAACUGGCUGUAAGUCACAGGUUCCCUUGCCCCCUCCUUGAGUUAAAUUAAUUUGCUAGAGUGGCUCACAGAUCUUGCGAAAACAGUCUGCUUACUAGAUUACUGGUUUAUUACAAAGGAUAUUAAAGGAUAUGAAUGAGAAGCCAGAUGAAGAGAUACAGGGGGUGAGGUCUGGAAAGGUCUCAAGCCCAAGAGCUUCUUUCCCUGUGGAGUUGCAGUGUGCCACUCUCCCAGCAUAUGGGUGUGUUCACCAACCCAGAAACUCUCUUGUGCUUUUGGCAUUUUUAUGGAGGCUUCAUCACAUAGUCAUAAUUGAUCAUUAACUUAGUCUCCAACCUCACAACUCUUCCCAAGAGGAUGGAGGAUGGGGCUGAAAAUUCCAAGCUUUUAAUCAUGGUUUCAUCUUUCUGGUGACCAUCCCCCAUCCUGAGGCUGUCGAGGAGACCACCAGGAAAUGCCUUAUUAGAACAAAAGACACUCCUAUCACCCAGGAAAUUCCAAGGGAUUUAGGAGCUCUGUCAGGUACCAGGGUCAAGGAGCAAAUAUUAGAGAAAAAGGUACACCAAGUGCUCUUACCACUUGAGAAAUUACAAGGGUUUUAGGAGCUCUGUGCCAGGAAUUGGGCUCAUAUAUAUGUUUUAUUUCACACUUGUGCACUAAAAACUACAACAUAUUGUUAGAAGAAGUUAAAGCUCUAAAUAACUGGAAAGACACACAGGUUAUUUAAAGACUUAAUAUUAAGAUGGGAAGUUGACAUACAGAUUCAAUGCAAUCCCUAUCAAAAGUCCAGCUGCCUUUUUAUAGAAAUUGACAAACUGUUCCUAAAAUCCAAAUGACAAAGCAAAGUUUCCGGAAUAGAUGAAACGAUCUUGAAAAAGAAGACCGAACUUGGGGUACUCACACUUCCCAAUUUCAAAAUUUACUUCAAAGCUACAGUAAUCAAGUCUGUGUGGUACUGGCAUAAAGAUAGACAUACACACCAAUGUAAUAGAAUUGAGAGUCCAGAAAUAAUCCCGUAUAUCUAUGGUCAGUUGAUUUCCAACAAGGGUGCCAAGACCAUGCAGUAGGCAAGAAUUCUUUUCAGCAAAUGUUGCUGGAACAACUCAAAAGCCAGGGGCCAAGGAAUGAAUUUGGACCCCUACCUCAUAUCAUAUCCAAAAAAUUAACUCAAAAUGGAUUAAAAACCCAAAUGUAGGGCUUUCCUGGUGGCACAUUGGUUGAGAGUCCGCCUGCCGAUGCAGGGGACAUGGGUUCGUGCCCCGGUCCGGGAAGAUCCCACAUGCCAUGGAGCGGCUGGGCCCGUGACCCAUGGCUGCUGAGCCUGUGCGUCUGGAGCCUGUGCUCCACGAUGGGAGAGGCCACAGCAGUGAGAGGCCUGCGUACCGCAAAAAAAAAAAAAAAAAAAAAAACCCAAAUGUAAGAGCUAAAACUAUAAAAUGCUUAGAAGAAAACACAGGUGUAAAUCUUCAUAACCUUGAAUGAUGCAAUGUUUUCUUAGAUACUACACCAAACACAAGCAACCAAAGAAAAGCUAGAUAAAUUGGACUUCAUCAAAAUUAAAAACAUUGUGCUUCAGAGGGCACCAUCAAGAAAGUGAAAAGACAACACACAAAAUGAGAGAAAACAUUUGCAAAUCACAUAUCUGAUUAGGGACUUAACAUCUCAAGUAUAUAAAGAACUCAUAACUCAGUAACAAAAAGGCAAUUCUAUUUAUAAAUAAGCAAAGGAUUUGAAUACAUACUUCUUUAAAGACAAUAUACAAAUUGCCAAUAAAAGCACAUGAAAAGAUGCUCAACGUCCUUAGAUAUUAGGGAAGUGCAAAUCAAAAGCACAAUGAGAUACCUCUUCACACCUGCUAGGCUGUUAUCCAAAGAAUGGACAAUAACAAAUGCUGGUGAGGAUAUGGAGAAAUUGAAACCCUCAUACACUGCUCCUGGAAUGUAAGUGGAGCUACUAUAUGAACAGUUUGGCAGUUUCUCAAAAAGUGAAACAUAGAGUUAGCAUGUGACCCAGUGGUUCCACUCCUAGCUGUAUACCCAAGACAUGUGAAACAUAUGUUCUCAUUAAAACAUGUACACAAAUGAAUGUUCAUAGCAACAUUAUUCAUAACAGCCCAAAAGUGAAAACAACCCAGAUGUCCAUCAGCUGGUGAAUGGUUAGGGAGGUAUGUGCAUACAAUGAAGCAGAAUAUUACUCAGCCAUAAAAAGGAGCACAUUACAUAAAAGUGAAAUACUAACCCAUGCUCUAAGAGGGGUGGAACUCGAAAGCAUUAUAAAGUUAGACACAAACAGCCACAUACUGUAUGAUUCCAUUUACAUGAAAUGCCUAGAAUACGUGAACCCACAGAAACAGAAAGUAAAUUAGUUGUUGCCAGGGGUUGGGAGUUGGGAAAAUAGGGAAUGACAUCAAUGGGUAUAAGAUUUCUUUUUGGGGUGAUGAAAAUGUUCUGGAAUUAGAUAUUUAUGAGGGUUGUUAAGUCUUGUGGAUAUAUUAAAAACACUGAAUUGUAUACUAUGAAAGAGUAAAUUUUAUGGUACAUGACUUACACAUUAAUUUUUUUAAGUGGGGAAAAUGGAAAACAGAAAUACAACAUUCAUCCUGAGUCUUAAAAAUAAAACAUUAUAUUUAGUAUCCAUUAUUUUUUAGUACCAGAGGAAAAUACUGAAUUUGAAAUGUUUUAAUAUGAACUCGAAAGCCAUUUGCAGCAAUUCUUUUUUUUUAAUUUUUGAACGCGCCACGCAGCUUGUGGGAUCUUAGUUCCCCAACCAAAGAUUGAACCCAAGCCCUCGGCUGAAAGCGCAGAGUCCUAACCACUGGACUGCCAGGAAACUCCCAGCAGCAAUUUUUUUUUUUUCAUAAGAAAGUCAUAAUAGUGCCAUGAGAUUGCUUAAUUUGUUUCUUUUGGUUCUUUAAGGUUUGAAUGGCAUGUUUGCUUCUUUACAGAAGGGAAAGGUGUCCCUCUAUCCUCUUUUCUUCAUCUGGCCCAGGUUCACACUCAGGCACAAUGAGAUACUUGUCUGUGCCUCUCUCCAGGGCUUAGAGAAUAGAUUUUCUCAUUCUUUCUAUUUCUGUCUUUUUUUCUUUUUCUUCCCUCCCUCCCUCCCUCCAUCCGCCCCUCCCCCCUUCCUUCCUUCCUCCCUUUUUCUUUCUAAACCCCCUUCCCCCCCUUCCUCAACUUUCUUAUACAGAUGUGACUUGUGUAUUCUUUGUUUUCUUCUCUUUGAGCCUUGUUUAUCAUGGCUGAACAUUUAUGGAUCCGGAGAUAUAUGCCUCUAUAUUGAAAGAGUCUCUCAGUGUAUUGGUAGGUUGCUAAAGGAUGAGCAGCUAAAAGCUCGUUGAGUUUUAUGCAUUUUGAGUUUGAAAUCCCUGAGACAUCAAACUGGAAGUGUUCGGAGGCAUAGUAGUAUAUGAAAGAAUUACAUACAGUGGUAGAGAACUCAGGAGAGAGAUCUGUGCUUGAGAUUAGAUUUGGAAGUCAUUAGAGGAUUGUUCUUACUGUAAUCUUCUGUAAUUAAGGUACUGUAAUCUUUCAAUAUUAAACUCAAUACAUUACUUAAAGCAGUUGCCACAGGAUUUUUCGUCCACUGAAGUGCUGAAUCCUUUGGCAACGGGGAUAUGAUGAGUGUUUUGAGGUUUACCCUUGAAAACUUUAUCCUGAAGAGUAAGCUUGGUAUGAUGGGAGACAGGAAUUUCUGUUAAGGAAACCUUGAUAUAUCUAUGCAUAUUUAUGAAUAUUUGUUCUCAACAACUAGGUCUGUGGGAUUGCUUAAAUGAAAAAGAAAAUAAAUGUUUUCAGUUGGAGUCAUGUGGACAGAAGUCAGAUUUCAGUUGAUUGAGGAAGAAGUUGGAAGGAGAAUCUGUAUAAAUUAUUCCUAGGCUUAGCGGUUGAGAGGAGAUGAAAGAAGAUUGUAGGAAUUAUCCGUUGUUAAAGGUUAAUGAACUUCUUGUUUUUUAAAAUUGAGGGAGUUGAAUAUGUUUGCAUACUAAGAUGGUAGAGUCAGUAGAGAAGGAAAAGUAAAAAAUGGAAGAAUAAAAGGAAAUUGUUUACGGUCAAAGUUCUUAUGAGAGACAUGAGGAAUAGGAUGUAUAGAGAAGAGCUGGGGAGUUAGCCUUGGAUGUGGAAGGGUCAUCAGUUUCACUGAGGUAGAAGGGAAAGAAAUGAAGGAGGUAGAUUCAGAUAUAUUUUGGGCGGGUGUGCAUUAAGAGCCAUGUAAUGGGGAGGUAGCUAUGUCUUCAUGUUUGAGGAAUCAGAGUCAGGACACUGAGCUAAUAGAAAGCAGGGUGUCUGAGAGGUGGCUUGAGGUUUGGAAUAGCAGUUCAGGAGGCACAAGAGGAGGGGCUCUCUUCCGGGCUUCCUGCAACCACCCACACAUUGAGAAACUCACCAGAGAACUCACUGGACUGUUAGCUGUACUCAUGGCUGAGGUUUAUUAUAGCAAAAGGACACACAGCAGGAUCAGCAAGGGAAAAA